CAGUAGCCACGGUAAUACGUAGGGUGCAAGAGUUAAUCGGAAUUACUGGGCGUAAAGCGUGCGCAGGCGGUUCGCUAAGACAGAUGUGAAAUCCCCGGGCUUAACCUGGGAACUGCAUUUGUGACUGGCGGGCUAGAGUAUGGCAGAGGGGGGUAGAAUUCCACGUGUAGCAGUGAAAUGCGUAGAGAUGUGGAGGAAUACCGAUGGCGAAGGCAGCCCCCUGGGCCAAUACUGACGCUCAUGCACGAAAGCGUGGGGAGCAAACAGGAUUAGAUACCCCCGUAGUCCCUGUCUCUUAUAC
rnacentral:rRNA from 1 species